rnacentral:rRNA from 1 species
UCUGCCACCGAAUACAUUAGCAUGGGAUAAUAGGAAUAGGACCCUGUCCUCCUAUUUUCAGUUGGUUUUGGCAGCGCGAGGACUAGGGUAAUGAUUAAUAGGGAUAGUUGGGGGCAUUAAUAUUUAAUUGUCAGAGGUGAAAUUCUUGGAUUUAUGAAAGAUUAACUUCUGCGAAAGCAUCUGCCAAGGAUGUUUUCAUUAAUCAAGAACGAAAGUUAGGGGAUCGAAGACGAUCAGAUACCGUCGUAGUCUUAACCAUAAACGAUGCCGACCAGCGAUUAGGAGACGUUGAAUACAAAACACCACCAUCGGUUGCGGUCGUCCUUGGCGUCUCGGUUUCGGCCGGGGCGCGGGGACGGCUUAGCCCGGUGGCACCGGUGAAUGACUCCCCUAGCAGCUUGUGAGAA